GCCGGAUGUGGUGGCACACGCCUGUAAUCCCAGCAAUUUGGGAGGCUGAGGCAGGAGGAUCAUGAGUGUGAGGUCACCCUCAGCAACUUAGUGAGGACCUAAGCAACUUAGUGGGACCCUGUCUCAA
rnacentral:sRNA from 1 species